rnacentral:rRNA from 1 species
AUUGAACGCUGACGGCAUGCCUUACACAUGCAAGUCGAACGGUAACGGGCCUUCGGGUGCCGACGAGUGGCGAACGGGUGAGUAAUACAUCGGAACGUGCCCGAUCGUGGGGGAUAACGAGGCGAAAGCUUUGCUAAUACCGCAUACGAUCUACGGAUGAAAGCAGGGGACCGCAAGGCCUUGCGCGGACGGAGCGGCCGAUGGCAGAUUAGGUAGUUGGUGGGAUAAAAGCUUACCAAGCCGACGAUCUGUAGCUGGUCUGAGAGGAUGAUCAGCCACACUGGGACUGAGACACGGCCCAGACUCCUACGGGAGGCAGCAGUGGGGAAUUUUGGACAAUGGGCGCAAGCCUGAUCCAGCCAUGCCGCGUGCAGGAUGAAGGCCUUCGGGUUGUAAACUGCUUUUGUACGGAACGAAAAGCCUUCUUUUAAUACAGGAGGGUCAUGACGGUACCGUAAGAAUAAGCACCGGCUAACUACGUG